UGGUGACAGAUUUAUCAAUACGGAAAAAGUGAGAGGCAGUGACAGGGAUGACAAAUUGAUUGACCCACGAUUCCUUCACUCCAUAUUCCUUCAUAACCCACACAUCUAGUUUCUCUUCUCU